rnacentral:lncRNA from 1 species
GGCGCCGGCACCGCCUUCUCUCUCGGUCCACGAUCUCUCUCUCCUUCUGCCUCUAUCCUCUCCGGCCGUCGAUGGACGGAGCACCACGACAGCCAACUCAGCAACCAACGCCGUCACUAUCUUCGCCGGACUUCCUCUCCCGCCGCCGAUAAACCGACCACCAACCGGCGACCCAUCGUCCUCAGCCAACAGUAGCGGGCCAGUGCUGCCACCGGCGAAACAGCAUCGCCGUAGACAGCUUCAGCUCCAAUCACCACCGGAGAACAGGCACCGCCGCCGUUCUCUCCGUCACCGGAGCUCACCGGAGCUCGAUCUGAGUUGGGUUUUGGGUUCCUGUUGUUUGUUGGGGGUUUUGGUUUCAUCUGUUUCCUAGUUCGUCGUCGAUAUUGGAUUUCGAGUUGUCGUUAUCAAAUCGCGUCGUCGUUCUUGUUUGGGUUUCGUAUAACAAAGUUUGUCUCACUGGUUUUGAAGUUGUCCUAUUAGUUUUUCCCUAUGCUGAGUUGGAUUCAUCGCGAUCGAGGUUCUCCGGUCUAGUAUUUUGGUCUUCGGAUUUCUUUAUUAUCGUCAAGGAUCAAUUUCAUCGAGGUCCAUUUCUUUUAACCGAAUCUUUAAUUUAUCUUGAUUUUUUUUUGUGAUGUUGUGGGUGUAGAUGAUUUAUUUGUUGUGUGUUUGGUUUGAAUCUUUGUUGUUAGUGUUUGUUUGAUGAUUGUGACGGGGUGAUAUGUUUCGAUAUUAUGUUGGAGAAAUCGCGAUUACCGUGGUUGAUUUGAUUGAGACUUAUUUAAUCAUGUUGGUUGAAAUAAAUUUGGGGACGGGAAUUGAAAAUUGAUAAAAGUAAGUAUUAUGAUAUUUUUGAUACAUUGUUGAUGUUGAAUGCGGUAUGUUGUCGAGCGGGUAGGCAAACAGUAAGCUCGGGUAGGCAAGUUUAGGAUUGGUGUAGUGUGGGAAUGAUUGGAAAUUUGUUGAAUGUUUUGUUUAUCGUAUUUAGAAAGCGUAUUUAUUUAACCGGGGAAUGCCCCGAGGUAAUUUGUAUUUACUCACCGGGGAAUGCCCCGAAGAACUUUGUACGCUAAGGAUGUUCGUGAUCAAGGCCCGAGGCAUCGGGUAAAGCAUGGUUUAGGACUAGUGUAGGUUAUUUCAGUGUUUUUAUUUCGGGUUCUAAUAAUUGGACUGGACUUUACAUUUUUGUUUUGUUUUGUUAUUGUUUGAUUAUUUUGCGUGUUUUUUUGUGUGGUUUAUGCAUUUGUAACGUCAAUUUAGCCGAUACGCUCUGCCAAGCGACCGUGGUUGAACCACGGGAUCAAGGGGUGCCUAAAACCUUCCCCUCGGUCAACAGAAUUCCUUAGCCGGAAUCUCUGUUCGCAAACCAGUUUAAGAGCCAAAUGGUUUCGAAAAGGAUUUUCCAAAGGUGACUUGGCACACCGGAUUAUGCUAAGUGGCGACUCUGAAUAAAAAAUACAAAUAAUCCUUUUCCGAAACAAAUUUUCAUUUCUUGUCACUUAAAUAGUAAAGCCCUUUCGAACUUUAAAAUAUACAUUUUUUGGAGCACGUUAAAAAAAGGGUGUGACAGUCAUUCACCCAGAUCAUGCUUUUCUCGCUAUUACUAUUAAGAAUGUGUAGCCUAGAAAAUCACAAAAAAUUUACAAGUUUAAUGCAUGAUAGCUUUCUCACAAAACUUUACAAGUUUAAUGCAUGAUACUUCCUCACUUUGCAUGAUAGCUUCCUCACUUUGUUAUGCUAUAGAAAGUGGACAAAAUAGUAUCAUGUUCUUUUUUUUUUUACUCAUCUGUCCGUUUGUCCCAUUAUCAUUCUAUUGCGCUGGUUAUGGAAGAUUGAAAAUUGAAAGUUAGAUGAAUGAUUAUUCAUACAAUUUUAUCCUCAGAGGUUUGCAGUCACUGAAGAAUGCACUUGUACUUCCCUUUCGGCUUGGAUGGAACGGUGAUUCAUGUGUGCCC